rnacentral:rRNA from 1 species
UGCAAGUCGAGCGGAAACGAGUUAACUGAACCUUCGGGGGACGUUAACGGCGUCGAGCGGCGGACGGGUGAGUAAUGCCUGGGAAAUUGCCCUGAUGUGGGGGAUAACCAUUGGAAACGAUGGCUAAUACCGCAUAAUAGCUUCGGCUCAAAGAGGGGGACCUUCGGGCCUCUCGCGUCAGGAUAUGCCCAGGUGGGAUUAGCUAGUUGGUGAGGUAAAGGCUCACCAAGGCGACGAUCCCUAGCUGGUCUGAGAGGAUGAUCAGCCACACUGGAACUGAGACACGGUCCAGACUCCUACGGGAGGCAGCAGUGGGGAAUAUUGCACAAUGGGCGCAAGCCUGAUGCAGCCAUGCCGCGUGUAUGAAGAAGGCCUUCGGGUUGUAAAGUACUUUCAGUCGUGAGGAAGGUGAUGUAGUUAAUAACUGCAUCAUUUGACGUUAGCGACAGAAGAAGCACCGGCUAACUCCGUGCCAGCAGCCGCGGUAAUACGGAGGGUGCGAGCGUUAAUCGGAAUUACUGGGCGUAAAGCGCAUGCAGGUGGAUGAUUAAGUCAGAUGUGAAAGCCCGGGGCUCAACCUCGGAAUAGCAUUUGAAACUGGUCAUCUAGAGUACUGUAGAGGGGGGUAGAAUUUCAGGUGUAGCGGUGAAAUGCGUAGAGAUCUGAAGGAAUACCGGUGGCGAAGGCGGCCCCCUGGACAGAUACUGACACUCAGAUGCGAAAGCGUGGGGAGCAAACAGGAUUAGAUACCCUGGUAGUCCACGCCGUAAACGAUGUCUACUUGGAGGUUGUGGCCUUGAGCCGUGGCUUUCGGAGCU